GACCUCCUGAAACUGAAAUGGUUCACAGAUCAAAAUCUGGUCAGAUCUGACUUUGUCGAAUUAAACCUGGAGCUUGGAAACGAAUUUUUGAAUGAAACAAACUGGGGGAUAUUUGGUUGAUACCCUGGUGAUAAACGAGAGAGGCAAUUGCUAAGUUGUGAUGCACUCAUACCUUUACUAGAUGCGAACAAUUCUGGAGAAGAAGAAGAAGUGGAAUCGGACGAGGAUUUUAUUUAUAUAUGUUGUUGGAAUUCUUAUAUUGAUGGAGUUGAAGAAGUACAGGGACAAAUAAGCCAAGGCAAGCCAUCUUUUGAUCUCUUGCUAUUUAUCCUUCUUGUUGUGCUCAUUGCUCCACUAUAUACUUGGUUCCUUGUAUCAUGUGUGAUUUUUGGUCCUCUACUCUAUGCAUACUUAUUCCCAAAGUAUGUUGAACCCCUUGUUGAUGCUUUGUAUACUUGCUCCCAAGUAUGUGAACCACCUUGUUGAUGUUAUGCAUGCUUACCCUAAGCAUGUAUGCCCCCCUGACCAUAUCCAUGUUGUCAUCUUCUUAGUGGUAUGAUGAUUAACAUCAUGACCCGUGUUUGAAUCAUAUUAAUUAUGUUGUCC